rnacentral:rRNA from 1 species
GUACACGAGCGGCGAACGGGUGAGUAACACGUGAGCAACCUGCCCUUCUCAUCGGAAUAAGCGUUGGAAACGACGUCUAAUGCCGAAUACGACCUCAGAAGGCAUCUUCAGAGGUGGAAAGCUCCGGCGGAGAAGGAUGGGCUCGCGGCCUAUCAGCUUGUUGGUGGGGUAACGGCCCACCAAGGCGACGACGGGUAGCCGGCCUGAGAGGGUGACCGGCCACACUGGGACUGAGACACGGCCCAGACUCCUACGGGAGGCAGCAGUGGGGAAUAUUGGACAAUGGGCGAAAGCCUGAUCCAGCAACGCCGCGUGAGGGAUGACGGCCUUCGGGUUGUAAACCUCUUUCAGCACCGACGAAGCGAAAGUGACGGUAGGUGCAGAAGAAGGACCGGCCAACUACGUGCCAGCAGCCGCGGUAAUACGUAGGGUCCGAGCGUUGUCCGGAAUUAUUGGGCGUAAAGGGCUCGUAGGCGGUUUGUCGCGUCGGGAGUGAAAACUCAGGGCUCAACCCUGAGCGUGCUUCCGAUACGGGCAGACUAGAGGUAUGCAGGGGAGAACGGAAUUCCUGGUGUAGCGGUGGAAUGCGCAGAUAUCAG